rnacentral:rRNA from 1 species
AUGGAGGUAGAGCAAUGGCUUCACAUGGCCAACGGCGACGGAGAGAACAGCUACGCCACCAACUCCAGACUCCAAAGGGUGCUCGAUCGAUUAAUUAAUUUGUUACUCCCGCCCGAGCAGGAGAAGGCCAUGCUUGAGACCAGGCCGGUGCUCCAGGGCGCCGUGGUGGAGCUGUACAGGUCACUGCCGGACAAGAGCACCAUGGUCGUCGCCGACCUAGGCUGCUCGUCAGGGCCGAACACGCUGCUGCUUGUGUCGGAGGUCAUCGGUACAAUCUCCGACCACAACCGGGAAGAAGAGCAGGAGCAGCGCCCUCCUGCCGCAGCCAUGGAGUUGCAGUUCUUCCUCAACGACCUGCCGGGGAACGACUUCAACCUCGUCUUCAGGUCGCUGG